rnacentral:rRNA from 1 species
AUGGGAACGCGAAGAACCUUACCUACUCUUGACAUCCAGAGAACUUUCCAGAGAUGGAUUGGUGCCUUCGGGAACUCUGAGACAGGUGCUGCAUGGCUGUCGUCAGCUCGUGUUGUGAAAUGUUGGGUUAAGUCCCGCAACGAGCGCAACCCUUAUCCUUUGUUGCCAGCGGUUAGGCCGGGAACUCAAAGGAGACUGCCAGUGAUAAACUGGAGGAAGGUGGGGAUGACGUCAAGUCAUCAUGGCCCUUACUAGUAGGGCUACACACGUGCUACAAUGGCGCAUACAAAGAGAAGCGACCUCGCGAGAGCAAGCGGACCUCAUAAAGUGCGUCGUAGUCCGGAUUGGAGUCUGCAACUCGACUCCAUGAAGUCGGAAUCGCUAGUAAUCGUAGAUCAGAAUGCUACGGUGAAUACGUUCCC